rnacentral:rRNA from 1 species
UACGUAGGGGGCAAGCGUUGUCCGGAUUUAUUGGGCGUAAAGAGCGUGUAGGCGGCUUCACAGGUCCGCUGUGAAAACUCGAGGCUCAACCUCGAGCUGUCGGUGGAAACCGUGUGGCUAGAGUUCGGUAGGGGAGUCUGGAAUUCCGGGUGUAGCGGUGGAAUGCGUAGAGAUCCGGAAGAACACCGGUGGCGAAGGCGGCCUGCUGGGCAGUUGCUGACACUGAGGCGCGACAGCGUGGGGGAGCAAACAGG